GCCAGGCACAGUGGCCGUACCUGUAGACCCAGCUACUCAGGAGGCUAAGACAGGAGGCUCACUUGAGUCCAGGAAUUCUGGGUUGUAGUGAGCUAUUCCAAUCAGGUGUUUGCACUAAGUUCAGCAUAAAUAUGGUAACCUCCUGGGUCACUGGGACCUAGGGUUGCCUAAGGAGGGUUGAACUGGCCUAGAUUAGAAAUGGAGCAGAUCAAAACUCCUGUGCUGUUCAGUAGUGGGACUGCACCUGUGAAUAGCCACUGCACUCCAGCCUGGGCAACAUAGCAAGACUCUCAUCUUUU
ensembl:misc_RNA Metazoa_SRP Metazoan signal recognition particle RNA